rnacentral:lncRNA from 10 species
ACUGGAGAUACAAUGAGGAGUGAAAUAUAUAGUCCCUCUCUGAAAGCUUGUGCAUCAUACAAAACAGUGCAGAUAAUGGUAAAUGCUUUUGCACAAAACCCCAUAAGACUUAGAGGCAAGCAGAAAUGACGCAAGUAUGAAACUCAAGCUGGCUGCCCGCUGUGCUUUGAGUAAUGAAGUCCCUUGUCUCUGAUCCAGGAAGCUCCUGUCUUCUGCCAGCAUCUGUCAGCAGGCUAAUUUGUCAGCUUGCAAAUAGGGAGACAUCUCAGGCUUGUCACAGUUCUUUACAGUUACUAGCCUCAUGUGGCUAUUUCCAAUUAAAAUUAAAUUUUAAGUUUAAAAUGCAGUUCCUCAGAUGCACUCA